UUGAACGCUGGCGGAAUGCUUUACACAUGCAAGUCGAACGGCAGCACGGGGGCAACCCUGGUGGCGAGUGGCGAACGGGUGAGUAACACAUCGGAACGCGUCCUGUAAUGGGGGAUAACCUGGCGAAAGCCAGGCUAAUACCGCAUACGUCCUGAGGGAGAAAGCGGGGGAUCGCAAGACCUCGCGUUAUAGGAGCGGCCGAUGUCGGAUUAGCUAGUUGGUGGGGUAAAGGCCUACCAAGGCGACGAUCUGUAGCUGGUCUGAGAGGACGACCAGCCACACUGGGACUGAGACACGGCCCAGACUCCUACGGGAGGCAGCAGUGGGGAAUUUUGGACAAUGGGGGCAACCCUGAUCCAGCCAUUCCGCGUGAGUGAAGAAGGCCUUCGGGUUGUAAAGCUCUUUCGGCAGGAACGAAACGGUGUGGGCCAAUACCCUGCAUCAAUGACGGUACCUGAAGAAGAAGCACCGGCUAACUACGU
rnacentral:rRNA from 1 species